AGGUCAGUAGUUCCAAUGGUAGAACGGCGGUCUCCAAAACCGCAUGUUGAGGGUUCGAAUCCUUCCUGGCCUG
rnacentral:tRNA from 1 species